GACGAACGCUGGCGGCGUGCCUAAUACAUGCAAGUCGAGCGGACUUACAAAGCUUGUUUUUUUAGUUAGCGGCCGACGGGUGAGUAACACGUGGGCAACCAGCCUGUAUGUCUGGGAUAACUUCGGUCAGCCGGAGCGAGUACCGGACAAUUCUUUUCUACUCAUGCAUAAAUGCUGAAAGACGGUUUAUGCUGUCAUUUACAGAUGGUCCCGCCGCGCAUUAGCUAGUUGGUGAGGUAACGGCUCACCAAGGCGACGAUGCGUAGCCGACCUGAGAGGGUGAUCGGCCACACUGGGACUGAGACACGGCCCAGACUCCUACGGGAGGCAGCAGUAGGGAAUCUUCCGCAAUGGACGAAAGUCUGACGGAGCAACGCCGCGUGAGUGAUGAAGGUUUUCGGAUCGUAAAACUCUGUUGUUAGGGAAGAACAAGUACGAGAGUAACUGCGCGUACCUUGACGGUACCUAACCAGAAAGCCACGGCUAACUACGUG
rnacentral:rRNA from 1 species